rnacentral:tRNA from 1 species
GCCUGGCUGGCUUAAAUUGGUAGAGCAUGCAACUCUUGAUCUGAGGGUCAUGAGUUCAAUUCCCAUGUUGGGCU